CGGCUCCCUGCCCCCCACCAGCGCCUCCUGCCGCCUCCUUACCGGUGACAGCUGGGGCCGCCGGGAGCCGGGCAGGGGCAGACGUAGGAGACCUAGGCCUGGAGGGCGCCGAAGAAGAGGCUGGCCCUCCGCGGCUUGGGGAGCGAAGAGUCGGACCCGGUGGGAGAGGGAAUCCCCUCAGCCCCUUCCUCCGACCUGAGAUUCGCCCUUGGGGCACG
rnacentral:lncRNA from 1 species